CGCGGGAGCCCCCGGGACCCCCAUAACGACACUCCGGACAUCGGCUACAACCGCGCUCCCGGAAGUCAACAAACAGCCGCCAGGGGCAACGGAGGCGGAGCUUUGGGCACGAGGCGGGGCGCGCGCCAGGGGGAGGGGAGCCAAGGCCGAGCGGCCGGUGCGGCGCAGGCGCAGGCGCAGGCACUGUGGAAGGGCGGUACGGGCCCGUACGCCCUCUGGCGGCCUAGCGGGAUGCGAGGCCACCUGGACCUGAGGCCCAAGAGCUUGUGCGGUGGAGAUUGAAGCCCCGCAGGGACGCUGCCCAGGUAGUGACAGAUGUCACAAUUUCACCUAUGUGACACAGGCCAACGUCGACAGAUUGACAAGGAUUAAAAACAUUCCCAGGAUCCAGUGAGCAGGAUAAAUAAGAAUCUUCAUUCUCAGUUGAUGAGAAUUCAGAAAGGUAAAAGAGCAUCUUCAAUCAAGGAAAGAAUACUUUCAUCAGACAAGUAAUAUAUUAGGUAACAAUCGACAAUGAUCUAAGAAUCCAUGAACUUCUUGAUUCUCUGGAAGUAAUGGUGUUCAACUGCAGUUAAAAAAUCCUGGAAGAUGAAAUCAGUAAAUGAAAAGAUUCCCAUAGUCUAGUUUCUAGACCCUGGAUGGCCCCAUUUUUACAGGCCACUGAGUUCUUACCAGAGAUAAAAAAGCAUUGUUUAACCAUUAGCUAAAGGUGAGGACAGGCCUCUUGCUUAGCAGAUGUGGCCUAAUAAAAUAAUCAAGAACAGAUCAAGAGGACUUCCCAAGUAGCAUCUGAAGAGAGGCACUAAACACAUAAAACUGCAAAUUUCACCAAUAACUAGAAAGGAGCAAGGAUGGUAUUCACCAAGUAGUGGCAUUUGAGGACAUCCAGAACAUGUGUCCUGGGCUCAAGGGAAGACUAUCAUCAUGGAAUUUAUUAUUGGGACAGUGCUACUAGACCAAGCCUUGGCCAGCAAGAAGCAAUGCAAAUGAUUUCACAGGAACCCCAUCAGUCAGCCCCUGGAAGUGACUGAUAGUCCC